rnacentral:rRNA from 1 species
GACGAACGCUGGCGGCGUGCUUAACACAUGCAAGUCGAACGGAAAGGCCCUGCUUUUGUGGGGUGCUCGAGUGGCGAACGGGUGAGUAACACGUGAGUAACCUGCCCUUGACUUUGGGUUAACUUCAGGAAACUGGGGCUAAUACCGGAUAGGAGCUCCUGCUGCAUGGUGGGGGUUGGAAAGUUUCGGCGGUUGGGGAUGGACUCGCGGCUUAUCAGCUUGUUGGUGGGGUAGUGGCUUACCAAGGCUUUGACGGGUAGCCGGCCUGAGAGGGUGACCGGCCACAUUGGGACUGAGAUACGGCCCAGACUCCUACGGGAGGCAGCAGUGGGGAAUAUUGCACAAUGGGCGGAAGCCUGAUGCAGCAACGCCGCGUGCGGGAUGACGGCCUUCGGGUUGUAAACCGCUUUCGCCCGUGACGAAGCGUGAGUGACGGUAAUGGGUAAAGAAGCACCGGCUAACUACGUG